rnacentral:sRNA from 1 species
AUUAUAUUAUAUAUAACUCUGUCCACAAUAUACAAAUUCAUGACUGACUGUAUUACAUCCAACUCACUAGAAUACUCGACCCGAAUACCCGAACGCCCAAGACUACUAGUAUUUCCGGUAAAUUUG